UAGGAAGUGGAAAAAUCAGAGCUCAAAGUGACAAAUCAAUGAAGUUCAAGGAUGGUUACAUGAUUUCUUUUGGUCAGCCUGUCCACGAAUACAGAGGUUCUACUGUGAGGCAUCUUCUCCUCAGACAGAAGAUACUACUAAUGAGAGCAAAUUGAUCCUGUAUGGGCUUUACUAGCAAGCAACUGUUGGAUCAGUGAAUACUUGCUGACCUGGUAUAUUCAAUAUGAGGGACUGAGCCAACUGGGAUGCUUGGAAGGCUGUUGAAGGGAAGGAAGUCAAAGGAGGAGGCUAUGAGUGACUACAUCACCAUGGAAGAUUUUGAAGAAUAUGUUGCAAAAGCUAAAACUUUACCUGAAAAUACUACUAAAGAGAGCAAAUUGAUCCUGUAUGGGCUUUACUAGCUAACAAUUGUUGGACCAGUGAAUACUUGCUGACCUGGUAUAUUCAAUAUGAGGGAGUGAGCCAACUGGGAUGCUUGGAAGGCUAUUGAAGGGAAGGAAGUCAAAGUAGGAGGCUAUGAGUGACUACAUCACCAAGGUUAAACAGCUACUCGAGGCAACUGUUGUUGCUGCUUAUGCUACUUUGUCACAUCUUGCUCUAUGUAGUACCAUUGAGGUCUUCACAAGAGCCACUAAGUUGUGGAUGGGUACUUCGGUGUUGAGGUCAGCAUCGGUGAUCAUUAUUAGAGCCACCAAGACCCUGAACGUACUUGGUACCGAUCUCCAAUUUAUGUUAAGCCUCAGUGAUACACUCGAUUUGGACUCUGUAUCAUAAUUGUAUAUGUUGAGAAGGGGAGAAGGAUACUGGAGUUGACUUCUGCGGUCUAGUAAAGAUUCAACUUUCUGGAAAAUGGUGUGGAACUCUACGUCGAGAAGGUCAACAAUAGAGAGCUUUGUGCGAUUGCUCAGGCUGUCUUUCCGGUACAAGCUUCUCACGAUUUUCACUGGAAUCAGUUUGACAACUACGAGAGUAUUCUGGUUCUUCCUUGCAUAGCCUUGGUUUAAAUAUGGGUUUCUGAGACUAGAUGAUCUUCAUGCAAUUGGUUGUAAAGUGAUUCCUUACAUUAAGGCUUGUCAAGGUGUCAUGUGCUUUGUCAUGGAAAGUGGUGCUAAAGGUUGUAAGGGUGUCCUCGAUAUCAAAGUAAAGAUCAUGUUGGAUUGGGAUCCUAAAGGAAAGCAGGGCCUCAUGACUCCUUUGCUAGAUCAUGUUACAAUUCAUGCCCCAUAGGAG